GAUGAACGCUGGCGGCGUGCCUAAUACAUGCAAGUCGAGCGAACAGACGAGGUGCUUGCUCCUCUGACGCUAGCGGCGAACGGGUGAGUAACACGUGGAUAACCUCCCUAUAAUACUGGGAUAACUUCCGGAAACCGGAGCAAAUACCGGAUAAUUCAUUGAAUUGAAUGGUUUAUUCGUGAAAGACGGUUUUGCUGUCAGUUAUGGAUGUUUCUGCGGCGAUUUAGUUAGUUGGUAAGGUAACGGCUUACGCAGGCGACGAUGCGUAGCCGACCUGAGAGGGAGAACGCCCAGACUGGAGGUGAGACACGGUCCAGACUCCUGCGGGAGGCAGCAGUAGGGAAUCUUACGCGAUGGACGAAAGCCGAACGGAGCAACGCCGCGUGAGUGAUGAAGGUGUACGGACGGUAGAACGCUGUAAUUAGGGAGGAAGAAAUGUGUAAGUAACUAUGCACAACUUGACGGUACCUAAUCAGAAAGCCACGGCUAACUACGUG
rnacentral:rRNA from 1 species